rnacentral:tRNA from 2 species
AGGGGAGUAGCUCAACUGGUAGAGCAUCCGUCUCCAAAGCGGAGGGUUGGGGGUUCAAGUCCCUUCUCCCCUGCCA